ensembl:lncRNA
CGGGCGCGCACGGCGGAGGGCUGGCCGGCGGCGCGGGAGGCGGGCGGCCCCGCGGGCUCGAGGGCGCGGGCCGGCGAGUUCGCGGACGUGCUGUGUCCGCUCGGGGGCGCGGGGCUGCGGCCCGGGGCGCCCACCCGCCUGCCCGCCGGAAGCCGGGUUUCCCGGGCGCGUGAGGAGGUGGGGCCGGGGCCGGCGCGGGGUCCCCGGGGCACCGGGGCUUGUCCGAGAGCUCGGACGGGCACCCCGUCCCCCGCGCGCUCCGAUGAGGUCCCCACGAGCGCCCGCGCCCCGAGUCUCGGCUGCUCCCGUUGCACGUGGGGUGAAGUUCGCCCCUCCUGUACUGGGGCUGUGGGUGGGAUGCAAUUCAGUGUCCUGGAAAACCGAACGGGAGCGUGGGCGCCUCGAGCAGCUGGGGGCGGGGGGCCUGGACCAAGGGCUUCCGGGGCCUGGGGACAGCCCCCACCCCAUGGGGUCUCCUCCCGACGCCCGGGGCGCGCCAGACCCAGGGGAUCAGGCCUCCUUGCCCCUUCAGUCCCCUGAAAAGAUUCCCUGAAGGCUGGACUCGGGGGUCCUGCUUCCUUCUCCCCCAGCGUGUCCCAGCGUCCCUGCUGCUGUUGGAGAUCCUGGAAAGGGGAACAAAACUCUUCUGCAGUCUGAGAUGGGGAAAAGAUCUGAUGGGCUUCUCUGGCACUCCUUGGAAACAUGUAAGCAGGAACUGGGACAAAGAAAUGACCCCUGCAUAUAGAAAAGAACGUGGUACCGGCUGGGUAAAGACCAUCCAGAACGUGCUUCUGUUCUCCUACUGGAAUUGGUUCCAGGGUGGUUCAGUCAGCUCAAAGCUCAGGACUUUUGUUUGAUGGUGAUGAGAAGCCAAGUUCUUCCUUUCUCAUGGUCGUGAUGGAGCACUUAAUCCCUCUUGUUGCUAGCAGCCCUCUUGUGAAUAAUAAAGGAAAAUCAGAAGGAGAACAGAGCUGACACAUGGAGACGAAUCCAGUUGAGAGAAUUGUAAGGAAAUUCAGCUGAAGCUCUGAUCAAACCAUGCCUGAAGGCUUUUGCCUUUUUAGAUUUGUGAACAAUGAAAUCACUUUUAUCAUUUAAGCCAAUUUGAGAUUUUUUUCUUAUUUUUAAUAGAAAGCUUCUCAACUGAUAUAGAAACUUACAUUCAGUUUUACUGGAAGAUUAUUCUGGGAUGAAGGAUAAAUGAAAUACCAAGUGCCCUCUGUCAUAACAGUCUUUGUUCUUUCGCUUUAGAAGACACUGGUGAUAAAGGAUUAAGAGAGGCCCUUAAUCCACAAACCCUGGGCCAAGUGAAAAGAUUCUUCCAGUCAAAGUAUGCUGAUGCUCUGGUCAUGAUUUUCUCCUUGAUCCUAAGUAUUUUCCAGAAAUGCACUGGCUUUAUACUUUAAUUUUUGAAGAGCCCUUUCUUCCUUUUAUUUUGAGACUUAGGAGGCUAGCAACUGUUGAUUUUUACUGUAUCUAGCUCUUCUGUACACAGUAGGUGCUUCAUAAAUAUAGGCUUUACCUAGAAAUGUAUAAAUGAAGAGAUUUAAAAACACAUUCCUGACUUGUAGCUUUUUAAAAGUACCUUCUUGUAAAUGGCGUAAUUGAAGACUUCUAAAAAUGUAAUUGCCAACUGCACUUGGAAAUCCACUUUGUCAAACUGUGGCUUCUAACACCUUGUCUCCAACACCAAAUCAGUUUUGAUACCAAUGUUUCCCCAGAGGUGUGGCUUUUAAUCCUCAAAUUACAACACAAGUUUUAACAGGCCAGUUUUGUCUGUCACCAGGAGUUUAGUAAUUAACAAAAUGCCCCAGCACUAAUGGUUUAUCGAAAGGCCAGGAAGCAAGUAAGAGACAUUACACAGGAAGCAGACCUGGUGUGCUCACUGAAGGAACUCAUUUAAGAGCACCCGAUUAGGUGUUUUGCUUAAUUCGGGCCCAGUCCAUGAAGUUCCAUCUAAGCCUGCCACAGAGAGGCCAAAAGCAAGCCCUGUGCAUAGAUCCUAUACGGUAACAAAAUCCAGUGACCCCCUAGAAUGUCCAUUCUAGGAUCACACACCCCCAAGUCAUUUUCACAGCCAUGGGUAUUUUGCAACAGCGUUUGCUACACAUGCUCUAAUAAGUUAGUGGUUUUCUUGGGAGUCUGAAACAGGGUGCAUAACAGCCAGUGAGUAACCUGCAAGUAACGCCCCCGGUGACAGUUUUGCUUUGUUCCGUGGGAGUGUGAAGAGCCGUGUCAGGACGAGGAUCGCUCUCCGUGAGCGCUGGGAAAGGACCGUCUGCACAUUCAAAGAGGGGAGUGUUCUCUUUAUCUAGGUGGCUGCCAAGUCUUAAAUACUAAAACAUGUAGGUGUACUUGAGUAAAGAGAAGGCACUGACAUUUCAAAGAUAACUUGAUCGAAGGAGAGGUAAAAGAGGAACUGGGUUAUUUGCCAGAGAUUUAAGUUUACCCCUGGAAAGGUAACCUUUUUGAGAAGCUCAGUGUCCUCAGAUCCUGACAGAGGGGUCUGCACACUCCUCACACCGCGUUUCUGCAAAGCAGGCCUCUGCUUGGGCCUCUGCUCUCACUUUCUCUCUUCAGGACACCCCUAAUGGAUUGCAGAUGUCCCAUUUGGUUAGAAGCACGUUUCAGAUACAUCUGCGCUUCUUGCUUUUAUGCAAAAACACCUGCAAAUCUUUAUCUUUGGUUAGAUUUACCACACAUUUGAAGCUUUGAAAUUUUGGUCCGGUGGGAAAGAGGAGCAUGUCACCACCCUCCUUCUUAAACUGGAUUCCAUAACGGACAAUAGCCUUUGGGGGAGAUGGUUUCAUUUUUCUUUAAGGAUAAUAGUCAGGAAGGCUUCACCAGCCCCAGACCUACUCAGCUGAAGGCUAAUUAAUUUCUUUAAUCCUAUAGAGUGUGUGGAAAUAUCUAUGGCGACUGUGAGUGGACAGCUAUGGGGUGUGUGUGUGUGUUUCUUCCUGAUUUUCUGAGACUUAACAAAGAAGAUCAUACCACAGCACCAGAGAGGAGAGAACAAUGAAAUGUUGGCAAACUGGUGAGGAUGUGGUUACAGGACCAGCUUCCUUGGAUGUGCCUUGAAAACAAUGUGAUAUAUUUCCAAUAAGUGAGUAAAUCCCUCUAGGCCUCAAAGAAGAUUUUAACUAUUCCCUUUAUUCGUGCAACUUUAGGAUGUCCCAUCCCAGCACCCAUGGAAUGACAAAUGCCAUUUACAUAGUUUUGAGAUAAUAAAAUAAUAAAAUCCUGAGCUGCCUCUGGGAAGCUUGAGAAGGAAAUCCACGUUCAGUGUGGUUUUGUAAGGAGGCGGGAAGCUCUGACUAGCAGAACCCUAGCUGUGUAAAUCUGAGCAAUGCAUUUAACCUAUUGGAGCCUCAGUUUUCUCAUCUGUGAAGUGGGGGAGAUGGAUUACAGUCAUUUGUUUAUUCCACAAGUGCUUUCUGUGUGCCAGGCACUGUACUGGUUGUCUGAGGACACAACAGACCCAGUCUCGUGAGCAGCCCCUCAGCAGUCCUGUCCCUUCCUGGUCACUCCCUAUCAUUCACUGCUGACAUUGGGGGUUGGCUUAGAAGUUUCCGCCCCACCUGGACCUCAUGAAUUCCUGGACUUCACUGUUAUGUGGUCUACCCAGCCAAUAAUCUAGCCCUACAAUUCUUGGACCUCUUUGGGCUUCAACUUCUCUUCCUUUCCUCACAUCUUUAUUCACAGUUCAGUCUAUUUUGAACCUGUAGAGAUCUCCAGUUUCAUGACUCCUCUCUUUCCUCUGUCGGUCCCCUCCUGGCCUCUCUUUCUUACCUAUGGAGUCAGAACCUGUUUCUCUUCUUCAGUUUACUCUCUCCAGUAACCCACAAUUCCCUGGCACCACUCUCCUUCUGCAGCACCCAAUGACCAAAUUCUACACUUGGAUCAAAACUUAUCAGCUUCCUCAGCUUCAACAUGCAGACUGAGUGUUGACGGAGAAGCAAAAUGAUGGUGGAGUUGGUGUUACCACAAAUUCCAAGUCUCUACCCCAUGUUGCAUUGGGGUAGAGACUCUGGGACUCUAUUAGUAUCUUCAGUGUCUCCCUUUCAAUUAGUUAUUUUGGGCUCAGCCUAGAAACAUUUUUAGGUCUGUAUCAUAUUAAGGGAAAAAACCCCAUCCUUAUAGGAUUAUUAUAUGGAUAGAUUCCACCUCUCGGUUCUCCCAGUAUUCACACCCUUGUGUAGUCCCCUCCCAUGUGGACUCUAGACUUGACCAUGUCAUUUGCUUUGGCUAAAAGGUCCUUAGCAGGUGUGACGCAGGUAGAGGCUUGGUAAGUGCUUGCACACUGAGCUGAUCUCUCUUGGAUUAUUCCCUUUUGGAGCCAGCCGCCAUGUCACAAGGAAGUCCAGACUGUCCUGCUGGAGAGAAUGGCCAUGUGGCAGAGGCCCUGGAGCAUGAGUGACCACUUUGUGAGAAAGGUUCUGACACCACAUGGAGAGAGAAGCCUAGUGUCCCCCCAGCAGAUGCCCCACCAGCUGAAUAUACACCCAAGAGUGACCAAAGGAGAGACCAGCAGAAGAGCUACUGUAUUAAUUGAUAGAAUCCUGAAAGAUAAUACAUCUUUAAGUUGUAAGUUUUCGAGUGGUUUCGUAUGUAGCAGCAGAUAUCCAAAACAACCCUAAAAACGAAACCGGGACCAUUCCCUUGAUCUCACAUCUCUACGCUUUCUCUUCUUCCUGUCAAAGCUUUUCAAAGUAGUCUAUGCUGCUGUCUCAGUUCCUCGAUUUCUGAUCAAAUGGGCAUUCUUCAGUUGUUGGCAUUCCCCUUCUCUGCUGUUUUAGUCUCUGUGGACCACAAUUUCCCCGAGUUCCACCACGUCGCAUGCUCCUGAUUCUCCUCGUGCCUCUCCAGAUAUGUGUCGUGUCCUUUAUGGGCUCCUCUUCCUCCACCAGUGCUUUUCAUGUUCCUCAGGUUCUGUUCUCAGCCACCUGCUUUUUUUCCUUCACAUUCUGCCUUAUUUGGUUUAGACCCUAUGAAUACAGCCUGAAAAACAGUAUGCAUAGUCCUAGGCCUGUAGAUCAUUGAGGCGCUUAAUAGUUUCUUCUAAGCAUUCUUUACAUUUAACACAUUUUAGUUGUUUUUAUGUGUCCUUUACCCAUUAGAGUCUUUGCUUCUUGAUGUCAAGGACCAUAUCUUACUAAUUUAGUAUCUCCCAGGGUUUGGCACAGUGCUUGGUGUACUGUGCUUGGUGUGCCAUCUGUGCCCAGUAAUAGGUGUUCAGUGAAUGAUGGUUGAGGGACUGAAUUGUAGAGUCAAUGUCCUUUGGAAUUCCAUUCCAUUUUAGCUUUUAAUAUCUACAUUUAUAAGGGAAAUUCACCUGUCAUUGUGUGUAUGUAAGUCAAAGAAGUUUGGAGCCCAUGGACAUGCUUAUUUUGUAAAAUCAAUUGGUGGCUUCCCAUUUUUCCCAAUGCUACAGGAAAGUUUUUCUAACUUGGAAAUUAUCUGUUCCUCUAAGAUUUGACAGCAUUCUGUAUUCACAUAUAUGUGAUAGCUGGUCAUGGGGGUAGAGGUUUUAUUUUUAUAGUAUUUUCCAUUCA